rnacentral:misc_RNA from 1 species
GCGGUGGUUUUUGGAGUUUGGUGUUAGGUAUUGUGAUAGGGAUUUUGAUAUGUGGUGUUCACGCCGUUUUGAAGAACGCAGAUGGGCUAUUUCUUGAUGAACGAGAGGCUGCAUCAAGAUCUUUGAUCAGUUCAGCUUCUGGAGCUGGAUAUGGAGCUGUACCUGUAUCCGAUCGAGUUGAAUUUACCAUAUCGGACUAACCUACUUUUAAAAUUG